UACGUAGGGUGCGAGCGUUAAUCGGAAUACUGGGCGUAAAGCGUGCGCAGGCGGUCUGUUAAGACCGAUGUGAAAUCCCCGGGCUUAACCUCGGGAACUGCAUUGGUGACUGGCAGGCUUUGAGUGUGGCAGAGGGAGGUAGAAUUCCACGUGUAGCAGUGAAAUGCGUAGAGAUGUGGAGGAAUACCGAUGGACGAAGGCAGCCUCCGUGGGCCAAGCACUGACGCUCGAUGCACGAAAGCGUGGGGAGCAAACAGG
rnacentral:rRNA from 1 species